rnacentral:misc_RNA from 1 species
UUCGAAAGUCAAAAGACCCCCGACUUGGGUUCCAAAGGAAAACCUUAAGGCGGGGCGUCGACACGUCCAUCUGUCAAUCGCGGCUAAUAAGCCAACAACCACCACUAGACGUAUCGCAGUCCACCAAAGGUCCAAAAUUUAGGCAAACCGCACAAGGAUUUGAACGGAUAGCCAAUCUCCGCGUCCUAUAUCCACUUCUAUUGAGAUGGAUGUGGGAGCGACGUGUAGCAUGACGCCCAAGCAGGUGUGCCCUCAACC